rnacentral:rRNA from 3 species
CAAUAGCGUAUAUUAAAGUUGUUGCGGUUAAAAAGCUCGUAGUUGGAUCUCAGUUCAUGUUAAGUGGUCCACUUGCCGGUGGUUACUGCUUAGCUUGAACAUUUUACAGACUGUCUUGUGAUGCUCUUCACCGGGUGUCAUGAGCGAUCUGUACGUUUACUUUGAAAAAAUUAGAGUGCUUAAAGCAGGCGUAAAGCCCGCAUAAUCUUGCAUGGAAUAAUGGAAUAGGACCUCGGUUCUAUUUUGUUGGUCUUCGGAUCCUGAGGUAAUGAUUAAGAGGGACAGACGGGGGCAUUCGUAUUGCAGCGCUAGAGGUGAAAUUCUUGGACCGUUGCAAGACGAACUACAGCGAAAGCAUUUGCCAAGAAUGUUUUCAUUAAUCAAGAACGAAAGUUAGAGGUU